GGGGGUGUAGCUCAGUUGGUAGAGCAAGUGACUCUUAAUCACUGGGUCCACGGUUCGAGCCCGUGCACCCCUACCA
rnacentral:tRNA from 2 species